ensembl:lncRNA
GCCUGGCUGCACCUCUCUUAGAGCUCAUUUAAGGGCUGACUGCCACUGUGGAAGAUUCUUUUUCUGGUGAUCUCUUCUUGGUGAAGAAUUCCCUUAUGAGCUGAGAAUCUUCUGAUAUGGAUUUUGCAAUUAUAAGGCCUAAUUCUACAGCCUUGAUGUGUGCACAACUUAUGUAAGGCCCUGGGAGCUUUCCGUCUCAAGAGCUGAAGCUAAUGCCAAAUUCUGGUAAAGAAGCUGAUUCAUAGCGUCUGGAGCAACUUUGGCUUGCAAUUUCAUAAUCACAGUUGUCUACCUAGAUAAGCAGAGAGAAUAAUAUGACUUCAAACUCUCUGGACUCCCCACUUUGCAAGGAUCUCGAAGUACUCGAUAGCUGGUGGAGAAGAAGGAUGUAACAUGAGAAAGCAAUGCACAAAAAUAUGAAAGCCCAAGUCUGUGCACCACCCACUUACUGAAAAAUAAGGAUAAGCUGUGCUCAUCUUCCCCCCCACCAAAACAGGGAAGCCAUCCCUUGGUAAGCACUGUCCCUUUACUUCUAGGUGAGCAAUAUCCAGGAUAGCAUUUAUUUUGCUAGCACUAAUGUCAUAUACCAGCGCUGUUGCAGUAAGCGUAUUUAUCAACAGCAAUCCCAAAUCUGUUAUGUCAAACUUCAGUAAAUCAUUUAUUUUUCAAUGUUUGUGAAACUGCCUGAGUGGAAGUCCUUGGGUUGAUGCUGGCAGGCAAGCAGCAAAACUAUCAACAUGACAACUGCAAGAACAUGCACAGGUGUGGCCAGCAGAGACUCAUGAGGAGAAGAUGUGCCCCAUAUGCCUCAGCCUGCUGGCUGACAUGACUCCUGUUAUCCCCUCCAGGCACACCUUCUGCAGGGGCUGCAUUGAGCUUUGGGCUGUUGACAGGGUCAGCUGUCCAUUGUGCAGCCAGCGCAUCAGCAUGCUUGUGAGCCUUAUGUGGCACUCCCCAGGUCAUGUCUUAACUCACCACUCCUGGGGAAGGAUCCAGCAGGCUACGGAGUGACAGGAAAGAAGAUCCCCAACCAAGUCCCAGAGUGUCUUGUGCCAACACAAACAGCGCAGUCCCUCCAGGCCCCCCCUGCCAGCUUGUCUGUAGCCUCUGCUGGGAGUGGGAGCACAACGGACGCAGGCAGUUCCAACUGCUGUGGGAUACCAAGGACACUGGAUGGCUGACAUGAGUCCAAGAAGAGCAGUGGAGCUCCAGAGACCACAUGCAUUGCCAUGCUGGACUCCACUUCAGAGUAGGUGGCUCAACCUACUGAGAGAAGGCUAAGGCACUCCGCAACUCUUCUGUGCCAGGUGUCACUAGUCAUCGUUAUUCCUUGGACUGCAUCAGGAGAUGUGCUGCCAGCAGCUCAAGGUCAUCACUCUAUUCCCCUCUGCUCAGCCCUGGUGAGACCCAGUGUCCAGAGCUCCAAAGUACAGCAGAGACCUGGACACGCUGGAAGGAGCCCAGUGAAUAGCAGCCAAGCUGAUGGGAAGGGAGUACUGGAGCAUCUCUGCAAUGAGAAGAGAGCUGGGACUGCUCCUCCCACUGAAAAGAAGGCACAAGGGGAUCUUGUCAAUGCCAAUAGAUUAUUGAAAAUCCUGAAAUUGGUGGUAGAUUUCCUUCUGUUCCUUCUGAGAGAUGAAAGACAAACUUAACCUGGGAUCCCACUGUAUGGCUUCUGAUGCAUCAGCCGCUCCUCCUAGUUUGGGAUCCUCAGUGGCCUUGUGAGGAUAAACGCUGAUGCGUCAUCCUGAUCAUUUGUGAGGCUCUUAUGCAGGACUGGACCCACUAUUGACCCAUGGGAUGAACCUGAAGGAUGGCUGCAGCUUUCCCAAAUUCAGGAAGAGCAGAUGUGCAGAGGAAUGAAGGGUCCAUGGGCAUUUCAGCUUUGUAUCAUCAGCAGACUUGCUGAAAGCAUGCUCUGAGUCAUUUUCCAUUUGUUGAAGAAGUUGCUUCAUGGUACAGCCACAGCCUCACCUCAUGUGCCUAUACUUGUUGGAGGCACUGUCAGCAUUUAAACAUCUGAUGCUGCCAUUUGAACAUGUUCAUUCAGCUCACAGACCCGUGUCCCAGCUUCAUCUUCCCACCUCAGGUCCCUACCUCACGCCACAAACUCACAUCCCACUGCCAAAGCCUGGUCUUGUGAAUCACUGCAUGUUAAUAGUCCGAGAUUUUAAUAUUUCCAUCCUCAAUACACUUAUAGACCCUAGCACCACUGCAGAUCUCUGCCCUCUUAGAAUCACAGAAUGGCUUGCAUUGGAAGGGACCUUAAAGACCACCUCAUUUCAACCGCUUGCUGUGGGAAGGGUUUCCACCCACCCGAUCAGACCCAAGGCCCCAUCCAACCUGACACUGAGCAUGUCUGUGGAUGUGGCACCCACAACCUCUCUGGGCAGCCAGUGCCACACCACCCCCUGAGAGAAACCAUCCCCUAACGUCUAACUUAAAUCUUCCCUAUUUUAGUUUAAAACC